GGACCUUCCGAGUUAUUGGAUAUGGCAGACAGCGAAACGGGUGAGACCGCCCUGCACAAGGCUGCCUGCCAGCGGAACCGGGCCGUGUGCCAGCUUCUGGUGGAUGCGGGAGCAUCUCUGAGAAAGACGGACUCCAAGGGGAAGACACCUCAAGACAGAGCACAGCAGGCUGGAGACCCAGAUUUGGCUGCAUACCUAGAAAGCCGCCAGAACUAUAAGAUCAUUGGCCAUGAGGACCUGGAAACUGCUGUUUGACCCUGGUAGAUUGCAAAGAGAACCUAAGCAAGCGCAUCACCUGUGCCCUCCCGGCAAUCGGGCAGCUCCCCUGGAAGAAGCUGAUGGAAUCCACAAAUCUGUCUCUCUCUGCAAGAAUCUAUCUGAGACCAUGCCACCAGUUAUUAAGGGCUACCAGGAUGUCCAACAGAACACGAUAGCCCUCUGAGGAAGAGGCAGGGUACCUGGAGAUUUGUGGAAUACACAUUCCACAUAAUUUGAUCCUUAUUGCUUCCAGCAAGUAGCAUGAACUUCUGUGUUCACCUGUAUAAUUUAUUUUCGAGAUUCAAAGGAUGUUCGUACAAAUGGCACUGCUCCCUCCUCCCCCUAUGCAUUCACGACUCCUCUGUACCCCACAAUUCUACUGCAACUACCCAUCAUUCAAAAAAAAAAAAAAGUAAAUACGAUCUGCUCUCUCUACAUUCAGUCUUUGAAGACCACAAGGCACUCUGGAGGUCUCUGAAAACCCUCUGGAUGUCCCGCGGAAACACAACUGUAAAGCUGCUUCUGUUUCCAAGAUGAAAUAUGCAGAGACUAUUAGUGACCGUCUGCAUGUCUCCCCUGCCCUCCUCCCUCAUCCCUUGUCAUUCUGUAGGAGCUGGGACGUGCCACGUGGAUAAUGUCAACUUGUGUGCUGUACCUCUGCGGUAUGGUGAGGUGGCAUGGGAGGGGACCCAGGGCCCGGCCCUGGGGGCGGGGCUGUUGCUGAUAGCCAUGAAGGACUGGUUCAGCUGGGGCUGUUUGCACAGCCCCGUACUGCCUACGUGUAGCCAUCUUUGCCUUUUGCUGCGAUGUAGACGAUAAGAGGCCAGCACAGGAUUGAACGAAGGCCCACGGCUGGUUUGGCGGAACCGCUGGAUUUUAAGUGCGGUUGAAGGUGCUGAGCAGAAAACCACGUGUGGGGACUGUGGUUCCAGGAAAUGGAGCACUGUGACUGCGUUCCCUUCCAGACUUUCUCUAGUGAUAAUAGAAAGCAGACUAACUGACUUGAAAUAAAACAGCCAAGGCAAAAGCAGCAACAUAUGUCAAAAUAACUCACUUAAGCAAGAAAACAGUUGUGGGCAUGUUGCACAGAGGCUAAUAAGUAGAGACUCUUGGGUGUAGUGGUGAGAGGGGGCCCAUUUUAGGUUUCCCUUCUAAGUGUUUGGUUUUCACUACCCCGAGUAAGCCUUGUCCCAAGGACAAAGCCUUGUUUUAUGAGUUCCACUGCUGGAUUUCCAGGACGGCUGGAUCUUCCCGAUGGACGUCUCACCUUUUACUUGUCAGGUCCCAAGAUUAUACCUGAUAGCACUGUAACCCCACUUCUUACAUACGGGGUUGUCUAAUCUAUUCUUUUCUUCGUUUCCCCCUACCAGGAAAUUCUUAGUACAAAACCACUGUGGGAGCUGAGCCAGAAAUGUGUCUCUGGCGUUGGAAUUAUGACUUCGAAUCCGGCCACGGAUCAGUUGGUACUUACAGGUCCCUCCAGUAGGGACUCUGUGAUAACUAAAAGAGCAGGAGGAAAAGGCUCCUAACUUUCAGUGAAGAGGCCUACUUGACGUGGGUAGGAGUCAGAAACACAAGUGGGUGAUCCAAAGUUGUUUCAGACUAAAGCUGAGGUCUUCUGAGCUUUCUUCCAUUUUGCUCUUAGACACAAGCAAAGUGCUUCCCUGGUGUCUCUGCAUGUGAACACAUAAAUGAUCGUAUUUCUGCAUUUACUUUAAAGGUCCAGUGGUGACGCACUGCUUACCUGAAUUGCAUUUUGGUCACCUAUCAUUUUGAGAGGACAGAUAUGAGUACUGUAUUAAGGAGGAAUAGCUUCUCUGUGGGUGGGGAUGAAGCAUCUCUUUAGCCUUUUCAAAAUCAAACUAUUGGUGUUAUUUCCAGUGGGGGGAGAAUAGGUUGGUUAUGAGUAAUCUAUUUCCAUCUAUCAGUCUUAGAAAUGGAAUUACCUGUUGGGUUUUAUGGGGAGGUAAGGAGGAGGGUAGUAUAUUGUUUCCAGAAACUGGAAAAAAUAGGCUCCAGGAGAAUUUAAUCACUGGGCUUCAUCUGGGAGUUUUUCAGUUGGUGGGACUGUCAAAGAGAUGUUGUGAUGACAGAAAUAUAAUCCUUAAAACAGACUGGAAUCUGGCUUUGAAUGGUGCCUUCCAUCCCCUAGAUUAAGCCAAACAGUUGGCCACACAGUCAGUUACCCAGCUGCCAUUUCUGGGAUAAAGGACUAUUUUCACCAACUACCAUCUCAUAUUUCUUUGUGAUGCUUCAAAGCAGCCCAGAGAAAACUUAGGGUAUAGAUGGCUACAGGCCAAUUUAAAUAGGUCCAACUGAAGUCACAAGUAAAUUCCUGGUAUGAAAAUAGAUAAGGUAAUGACUACUAUAGGGGUUCUGGUACAUUUGGAAAUCAUUCCAAGCCAAAAAAAGUCCUACAUUAUGGAUGGGAAACUAUGUACAACAAGCAAAUAUCUCUUUGAAAAAGCAAACACCCUCAGGACUUGGGUUUUCCGAGGAAAGGACAUCAAAAAUGAACGGAACAGUUACAUAUUUAAUGGAUUCAAUAUUAAACCUACCUCCUGUAGCAUUUUUUAAAAUUGAUCACUGCAUGGGACAGUCCUGGCCUUCAGAAAGAGCUGAGGCCGUAUGCUCCAAGAGUUUCCAGCUCAGCUCAAGUAUAGAGUCUCCCCUUUAAUGGGCCAUCAGAAAGGGUAGAAGCCAAUGGUCUGGCCCUGGUCUGGAUCUGUAAACCCACAAACGUUUAAUUUAAAAGACAUGACACUGUAUACUCACAGAAAUACCAUUUUCUACAAAACCUCCCGGGACAGUACUGGAGCAUGGCUGGCUUAGCUGCCAAUCCUCUGUGUUUGGCUCAGAAGAGCCCCUCAUGGGCAUUCCAUUUGUGGGUUUGGUUGACAGGGAGGGGUAUGAGAAAUGGAGAGUUAUUACAAGACCACAUGAGAGAACCUUAAAGGUAGUCAUUUUCGGAGCCCUAUAUUCCAGGAGUACACAUUUAAUGAAAUAGAACCCAGUUUAGAACCCAGCUUCACCUAGUUAAGCUGUGCUUUAUCACAUUCAAGGACUGAUUAAAAACAACAACAACAACAACAAAAAAAAAACAGAAGCCAAGAAGGAAAUAAAUACCAUGGCCGCAAAUCUCACUUUGAGAGUUCUGGUUACCUCUAUGGAGGCUAUAACCUAAAACCCAUGCAAUUUCUGAAGAAGAGAAUUUAGCUGGCAAGUGCACAGCCAUGACAUUAGUGACAGCCCCCCCUAGCCCAUUGUAGUAGCUGGCCUUAGCAAUUAGGCCGAUGUGUUUACAUUGGGAGAUACUCAACAGGCAGUUUGCAUUUGGACCUUGUAACCAUUUCUUUGCCUAAAGGAUUUCUGAAAUGUAUUUCCUAGACUUCUCGUAAUAUCCAUGUUUUAUAAUAUGUGGGGCAGCAGUUUUAUUUUUUUACAUGUCAAUUUUAUUUCACAUGUUUAGUUUUUUUUUUUAUCAUAAAGAUAGGACAUGCUUUUUAUUAAAAAAAAAAAAAGUUCUAAUAGCACAGAUGAGAAUCACAGGCAAGGCCAAGAUGUUCCUCUGUGCUCAUGUAGUGGCCUGAGUCCCACACCCCAGAGAUAAACAGUGUUAACACUGAUCAGCAUUGUUGCUUGUAUGUUAUGUCAGAAAGACUCUGUGCACACAGCCCCCCCACACACACACAUAUAGAAAUGUAUUUAUUUGUAUACAUAAUAUACAAAUAUAUAAUAUAUAUAUAUACUAUACAUACAUUAUUGCAUAGGUUUCCAGUAGACAAAACAUUUUAGAAGCAUGCUAAUCAUCUCUCUAUGUAUAGUUAACACCAACAGGCAAAGACAAGCUAACAGGAAUUCUUCAUUUAUUCUUUGUUGUUUUUACUGCUGCUAAGCUCAGUUCUCUUAUUGCAGCCACUCCAAUUACACAUGGCUUUUGCUAUUGCCUGUGUCAUAAAAUCCAUGACCAAGAGGUCUUAUAAUUUUUUAUGUUACCUUCCAUGAAGCAUGAGACCUACCUGAGCCCAGAGACUUGUCUGUGCUGUUUUUGGAUCACAGAUGGAAAAUUUCUUUCUCUGUCAUGCUCAUUCCACUUUACAAGGCUGAGUUUGCAGGGCUAACACUCCAUACAUUGCCUAAUGAUAUUUAAUGAGGGCAAGCUGCUGCCAGGAAGGUGUAGGAACUUGGGUAUGGGCUGGGGUCUGAGGAGCUUGGCUUCCUUCCAGUAGGAGUAGCUCAUGAAAAUCACUGAAAACAGCACCAUCUUUUAUUCAGUUAUGCUGUUUAAAAAUAAGAUGGAUCAUUGUUGAAAUGAUGCAUCAUAGCCAUCAAAUAAAACUAAUUGCUCUACUUAAAUGGAUUAUUUUCAGUUCAGGUAAGAAAAAAAUAGAACAUCUAUUAAAUGAGAGGCUUUUCUAACUGAUUUUUAACAUUUAUUUGUAUAAAAUCAUUUCUGCCCAGGUCUCAUUAGAACCUUCUCUGAAUCUGUCUACUUUCUCAUUCUCUGAAUUCCAUAUUCAGCUGAUUACUGUAGUUUUUUUCUCUGUCUGGUCUCUCAGAUGGACUUUGGCCCCGUCCCUUUCUGUGUCCUGGUCUUGACUCAUCUCUAGUCCCUCCAGUUUCUGACCAUGACAAGAGUCCUCCUGGACUUUUGGCCACCACCUUCAGUCAUUUUGUCAUACAGACACCCAAAUCUUCUGCAGGUAUUCUGCUCAGAACAGAUCAGAAUGAAAUUACCCUCUGGGACAAGUAUCCAUUUUGCCUGAAGGACAAAUAGAUGUCCACUGACUUUGAUCAUCUUACAGAGCUACAACAUGCCUUAUUCUGAGAAGCCAUCUGCCAUAGAGGUUUAGCACACGUCUGUCUCAGUUCCACCGUGGGUGUCCACAAUCAUGGCAGCUUCUUCCACAUCCGGUGACGUAAACCAUGUACUCCCCUAAGUCACCUAGAUGAACUGGAUUAGAUACGUGUUAUACCCCUAGUGGCCAUCCGUGGGUUUUGGGCUGUCUCCCCACAGUUUACUGAGAAGCCUAAAAAUAGGAACUAAGCAAGGAGGAGUGCCCUCGGAAAACCUGCUCUCCCAGGACACAUAGCACGGACCUGGUCCCAAAAAGAAAGCAGAAAAAAAUAAUUCUUAGGCUGUUGAAGCAUUGUCGUUUAAAGUAGAAAUUUGAAUAUUGAAUGGUAUCCUCAUGGUAGACAGAUUCCAGAGUCUAUAUAUGUAUUCAGGCAUUCUGCAUGCAAUCAUAUGUUCAUGAGUCAAGCAUACAUUCAUAUAUUUAAUCAUUUAUAUUAAAAAAAUUUUAUCCCUUAUUCUGAUGCAGGCAGCAUGCUAAGGAUCUAAGAAUGAAUGCAAGAGCCAAAACUCUUGACUUCACAGAGCUGGCAACCUAGGGGAAAUGCACAUGGUACCAGGGAAGCGUGCACUGGGGAAUCCAUCAGGCCUUUAUCGUGCCAGUCACUCUUCAGCCAGCAAUGUUUGGGCUCUAUGAAAUAUGAAAUGAGAAUAUGAAUAUGAAAGAAGUGAUAUUUUGCAUUUCUUUUUCCUAAGAGUCUUGGUCCUGUUCUUCAAAAGGUAUUUGCAACCAAGACUUUAAGAUGAGACAGAAAUAUGACUCAAAUGAGAGCUAAAACUCAUGCUAUUUCUCAAGGACGAAACUAGAAGCAAUAGGCAAAAUUUGCAGUGGGUUUUGACUGAAUACAACAAUGAAGUAUAAAUAUUGUCCAAGAGUGGAGUGGGCACCCUUACAGAAUUCCAUGUGUUCAGCCCAUGGGACUGUUUGAACAGGGGCUUCCUGACCACCUGGAAGGAUGCUGUGAUUAGGGACCUUUAUCCAAGGGGCUGGAAUCAGAUGCUGUGAGUUUUUGAAGUUUUUUUUUUUUUUUAAAUGAUGAAUGGCAGAACUUCAUUUUUUAAAUUUUUGAAAAUCUUGAUUUUUAAUCUUUAAAACACCACAUUGAGAGGAAAAAUCUGGGAGAGAAUUACUUUUGGUUAUCAUUAAAAAAAUUUUAAACCAACUAAGCCUGAAUUUAAGAGCUAGUGCAAAGCAAACAUACUAAGGGGUCUAACUUACUCCAAAAUGCUUCUGGAAGCAUCACGGAUUUUGAUGACUCUUCUUAGGCAUUCUUAAGUCAUAUUGGAAAUUGGUUUUCUCACAAUUAAAUGUAAUCUACUAUAACCACAGAAGAAAAUUUUGCCUAAAAGGUAUUUGGGAUCCAAGUAACAGACACAAAAGACAAUCAUGGAAAAUGGCUUUGCUUCUGCUGCAGACAUGAUAACUGCUAGGGAGCACUCACCCAUGGAGAUAAGUGAUGAUUCUGAACGUUUUCCAGAGUUUUCAUAUUUUGAGCCAAAUGGCAUCUGAAAGGGAUCCCUUCGUGGUGGGAACAACUGAAACGAUCUUGUUUCUCAAUCUUUUAGUGAAACACAUAUAGCUUUCAAUAGAAAAUAGUUUAAACACCUCAAAUGUAUACUGCUUACUGUUAUUAUACUGUUUAUUACAAUUUCAGUAAUUUUUAAAAUUUUAGUGUUUUAACAUUUCGAUGCCCUUGUGACAGCUUUGAACUUCGGUACAAACCCAUGAGGUGGAUCGUGCAGAUCAUUUUAGAUGAAUAAACCAAAUCUCAACACACUGUAUUCAACUUGUGCAGAUUCAUAUAGUAAAUGGUAGAACUGCCGUCAGAACUGACAUCUCUACAUAUUGCAGACUAACACAUCCACGGUAGAUGUUUGCUAAGUAAACAGUUUCCCACCCUAGCCUUCACUGCUGUUUUACAUCAUGCAGAUUUCCAUAAUUUAGAAGGUGCCUCCUUGAAAAGAUAAUGACUUAGCAUCCCACAAUAAGAGUUGGGUAGAACUGAGGGAAAAUAUGAAGUUAAAAAUCAGAGUUUUUGCUAUCAGAAGCUUAUCAGGUUGGGCAAAGUUCAAGGGGAAAAAGGUCAAAUGUUUUGGUGCUGGGGGGCAUUUCACGAGAAGCUAAUACUGAGGAUGACUUCCUGGUUUCUCUAUGAGUCUCAACAUUUAAAAAUGUUAGUAUUGUCCUCUCUCCUUGGAAGUCUCUAUUGGAACGAUAUUUUGGAAUUCUGUACCAAAAAGUGUUGAAAAUGGGCUUGCCAUUCAAGACCUCUUUGCUCUAAGCAGGUGGGCAUGCAAAGCUAUGUCUGUCCUACUGUCACGUACACAGAGGUCUGAUACACCUGUGGGAAGUUCUGUUGACCUUGAUAUGGGAAGAAUAAACAGACCAGAGAGAUUCUUCAAUUCCUGCUUUCAUCUUUUAUAAGGCACCUCGGCGGACAGAUCAGUGACUAUGUAGAAGAAGGAUGUUUGAUCUUGAAAGAGGACAAAGUUAGAUCAGGAACAGAAAUGUUUGGAGGAGACGGGUGAAGUAGAAUGGUGAGAUUUAGGUUCUCUAGGGCAGACAAUUUGCAGAAGAAAGCAAAGACAGAAGAGUUCAGAACAGAAAUGAAAAGGAGGUGGCUUUAUUACUUCUAGAAGGAUUUCUUUUUUUCCUAAACAUUACAUCCAGAAAAAUGGAUGGGGUUUUCUGAAAAACAAAGUGACUUACUGUAGCUAGGGUUUUUUCUAGUAUUUCAGUGAAAAUUAAACAACCAAAUGAGGGAACAGGAAAAAGCCCUUCCUUAACUGUGAGGAUGCUUAGACUAAAAGACUUCUGUGAUAUUUUCUAGUUUUGGAUUUCUGUGAUUUUUGGAUUCAAGCAGAACUCAUUUAGAACCCUAAGCCUCUCUAGGUUCCUGCCAUGUAGAUGGCAAUUAAAGCUUUUUUGUAAAAACACUGGUCAUUGCAAAUAUAUCCCAGAUCAUUGAGAAGCAGGUAUUUCAUGACCCUAAAACAAUUUGCUUUGCUUACAUACACACCUGCACGUUUGCACGUGCGUGCACACUCACACACACACACACAUACACACACAUAACUCUCUUUGUCUGUUGCUAGCCAAUUUCCAAAUCUCUUGAGUAAGAUAUGUUUCUACUAAGGCAGAACAGUCACAGGUUCAAUAAUUAAAGAGAAAAAAAAAGGAUCUAGUGCUCAUUUUCCUACUUUCUACCCAUUUGUUGUUUGGGGUAUGUGGUUGUGGCUGGGGCUUGGAGAAGGGGCAGAAGAUCUCUAUUUUCUGGUAAAGAGGCAUAGAGACAGUUUUUAUAACUUAUUGCCAUUAAGUAGGACUUAAUCUUAUAUCACUAGACUAGUGUUGCUAUAAUGUUUGUGGACUAUAGUUUUUUUAAGCCCAUUUUUUAAAUCUUUUUUAAAGAUUUAUUUAUUUUUAGAGCAUGCGUGCAUGAGUUGGGGGA